UCACAAGAAGUGACGUCACGUAGUUCAGUCAUUUGUCACGGUGGGAUGCAGUGUGCUGUGGUUCGUUCCCGGGACGCAAAACUGACGGCUCCGGACGGAAGCGUGCAGGUCUGGUAAAUACCAUCAACAUGCCAGGACCAUAUCUUCGCAAAGAAACACGCCCAGGGCUCCCAAGCGUUAUGUUCCAGGUCCUAAAUGGCUUUCAAAGUGUACCAACUUGUCGGAUUACAUCCUCGGCCAUUUACUUUUCAGGUAGUGGUGGUGACGAACAUGCAGAGACGGAAGGCUGGAUGCAGGAAAACAUGAUUUAAUGUCCAAAAGAAAAUGCCGGAAAACCGGAAUCAGGAACCAGGAAACAGGCAAACUGUGUCCUAACAGGCAAACUGGAAACAGCUAACAGGAAACCAAGAAACAACGAGCUGUCAUGACGGGGAUUAUUUCGCUGCUUGCUGCGAGGAUUGUUUUCCCGUGAUGCAAACGGACUUGACCGGACAUCGGAAGAAGGUAGGAACAUGAUUUAAUUACUACUCAAAAAAGGGUACAAACAAAAAGCGCUCACAGCGGAGGCAUAACUUGGCUAAGAAAACAAAAACUAAUACUUUAACGUAAACUAUGGACAUGAAACAAAACUCACUAACUGUGACAUGAAAAAACAAAACUUACGUGGCAUGGCAUGAAGCAUAGAAAGAGCAAUCGCAAAAAUACAAGCAUCAAAACCAGCAUGAACAGAGCAGAACAAUGUCAAUGUCGCCAGGCAGGCUAACUCUAAAUGACAGGCUUAAAUAGUCUCUCCUGAUUAAAACAGGUGCGUGAGUCAAACACAUGAGACAGGUGAAAACAAUGAGUUACCAUGGUGACCAAACAAGGGAGCGUGAACAGGAACUAAAAGAGUCUUAAACAACCAGAAAAUAAGAAAACAUAAUCCAAACCACAGAACAUGACAGGAGCUAGGAGACAGCAAACUGCAAAUAGCUAUCAGGAACCAGCAAACAGGAACAGCUCACAGCAAACAAUACUCCAGCACUGACUGGAGGGCGAGGCAGGUAUAAAUAGUGCCACCUGGUGUGCCAGACUGCCAAUCAGGGACAGGUGAGGGAAUCAAGCGCUCAGGGCGACUUGCAGGAAAAGGAACCAAAAUAAGAGCGCUGACAGGAAAUAAAACGCAAACGGAAGAAAAACUAAAACAUAGCCAAACUGUCAGUGACAAGCCUUAUGGAAUUUUUAUUUUUUUUUAUUUUUAUUUUUUGUCAUAAAGAAAUACAAUCAUGUGUGCUUAC